rnacentral:rRNA from 1 species
UACGAAGGGGGCUAGCGUUGUUCGGAUUUACUGGGCGUAAAGCGCACGUAGGCGGAUCGUUAAGUGAGGGGUGAAAUCCCAAGGCUCAACCUUGGAACUGCCUUUGAUACUGGGGAUCUCGAGUUCGGGAGAGGUGAGUGGAACUGCGAGUGUAGAGGUGAAAUUCGUAGAUAUUCGCAAGAACACCAGUGGCGAAGGCGGCUCACUGGCCCGAUACUGACGCUGAGGUGCGAAAGCGUGGGGAGCAAACAGG